AUGCACCCGGGCACCUCCGUCGCUGCGGUGGUCUGUGCGGCUGCUGCGCUGCUCAUCAGCAAUGGCUGCCUCUCCAUGGCCAUGGUAGAGGACAAGAUCACAGCGCUGCCGGGGCAGCCACCGGUGAGCUUCGCGCAGUACUCCGGAUACGUGGAGGUGGACGCCAUGAGGAAGAGGUCGCUCUUCUACUACUUCGCCGAGGCAGAGCUAGAUCCGGCCACCAAACCCCUCGUCCUCUGGCUAAAUGGAGGACCCGGAUGUUCAUCUGUGGGGGUGGGAGCAUUCUCAGAGAAUGGGCCAUUCAGGCCCAGUGGCAAUGCCCUUGUGGGCAAUGAGUAUAGCUGGAACAAAGAGGCCAACAUGCUCUAUCUGGAGAGCCCUGCAGGGGUGGGCUUCUCCUACUCCACUGAUCCUUCCUUCUAUGGGGGUGUUGGUGACAGCAUGACAGCCAGGGAUAAUUUAAGGUUCUUGGAAGGCUGGUUUGCCAAGUUCCCACAGUACAAGGGCAGGGACUUGUACAUCGCAGGAGAGAGCUAUGCUGGCCACUACGUUCCGCAACUAGCGCAGCGCAUGGUUGAAUUCGACGACAAGGAGAAGCUGUUCAAUCUGAAAGGCAUUGCUUUGGGCAAUCCUGUUCUCGAAUUCUCGACUGACUUCAACUCAAGAGCCGAGUUCUUCUGGUCACAUGGGCUGAUAUCGGACUCAACUUACAACAUCUUCACGACGGUUUGCAACUACUCACGGUAUGUGAGCGAGUAUUACCACGGCUCCAUCAGCACGGUUUGCGACAGGGUGAUGAGCCAAGUGACCAGAGAGACGAGCAGAUUCGUGGACAAGUACGAUGUCACCCUGGACGUCUGCAUUUCUUCGGUGUUGAUGCAGUCCCAAGUGCUCACCCCAAGCCCAAAUUCUACCGAGCAAUUGAACAGGGCGCUCGACGUGUGCGUCGAGGACGAGACGAUGAACUACCUCAACCGAAAAGAUGUGCAAAAGGCAAUGCACGCUCAGCUCAACGGCGUGCCCAAGUGGACGGUCUGCAGCAGUGUUCUUGAGUACAAACAGCUGGACCUGCAGAUCCCGACCAUCAACAUCGUCGGCGCGCUCGUCAAGUCUGGCAUCCCGGUGCUAGUUUACAGCGGUGAUCAGGACUCGGUGAUCCCCCUGACGGGCAGCAGGACGCUGGUGCACCGCCUGGCCAAGAGGCUCCGGCUGAACGCAACGGUGCCAUACCGGGUCUGGUUCCAAGGGAAGCAGGUUGGUGGAUGGACGCAGGUGUUCAGCGACGUGCUGUCCUUCGCGACCAUCCGGGGCGCGUCGCACGAGGCGCCCUUCUCGCAGCCGGAGAGGUCCCUCGUGCUCUUCAGGGCGUUCCUCGCCAGCCGGCCGCUGCCGGAAUCGUUCGAAUGA
rnacentral:rRNA from 1 species